UACGGGGGGGGCUAGCGUUGUUCGGAAUUACUGGGCGUAAAGGGCGCGUAGGCGGUCUGCUAAGUUGGAUGUGAAAACUCUGGGCUUAACCCAGAGCCUGCAUUCAAUACUGACAGGCUAGAGUUCUGGAGGGGAUAGCGGAAUUCCUGGUGUAGCGGUGAAAUGCGUAGAUAUCGGGAGGAACACCAGUGGCGAAGGCGGCUUCCUGGGCCGGUUCUGACACUGAGGAGCGAAAGCGUGGGGAGCGAUCCGG
rnacentral:rRNA from 1 species